GACAGAGGCCCCAAGCGUUAGGCGGAAUCACUGGGCUUAAAGCGUGUGUAGGCGGACUUCUAAGUGCCUUGUGAAAUCCCACGGCUCAACCGUGGAACUGCUGGGCAUACUGGGAGUCUUGGGCCAUUCAGGGGCAACUGGAACAAGCGGUGGAGCGGUGAAAUGCGUAGAUAUCGCUUGGAACGCCGAAGGUGAAAACAGGUUGCUGGGGAUGUGCCGACGCUGAGACACGAAAGCCAGGGGAGCAAACGGG
rnacentral:rRNA from 3 species